rnacentral:rRNA from 1 species
UACGUAGGGGGCAAGCGUUGUCCGGAUUUAUUGGGCGUAAAGCGCUUGUAGGCGGCACGUCAAGUCGCGUGUGAAAUCCCCAGGCUUAACCUGGGAAGUGCGCGCGAAACUGACGAGCUUGAGUGCCGGAGAGGGUCGCGGAAUUCCCGGUGUAGAGGUGAAAUUCGUAGAUAUCGGGAGGAACACCAGUGGCGGAAGGCGGCGACCUGGACGGACACGUGACGCUGAGACGCGAAAGCGUGGG